GACAGAGGGUGCAAACGUUGUUCGGAAUUACUGGGCGUAAAGCGCACGUAGGCGGCUUUGUAAGUUAGAGGUGAAAGCCCGGGGCUCAACUCCGGAAUUGCCUUUAAGACUGCAUCGCUAGAAUUGUGGAGAGGUAAGUGGAAUUCCGAGUGUAGAGGUGAAAUUCGUAGAUAUUCGGAAGAACACCAGUGGCGAAGGCGACUUACUGGACACAUAUUGACGCUGAGGUGCGAAAGCGUGGGGAGCAACAGG
rnacentral:rRNA from 1 species